rnacentral:rRNA from 1 species
CCCUUAGAUGUUCUGGGCUGCACGCGCGCUACACUGAAGCGUUCAACGAGUAUUUCACCUUGCCCGGGAGGGUUGGGUAAUCUUUUUAAAACGCUUCGUGAUGGGGAUAGAUUAUUGCAAUUAUUAAUCUUCAACGAGGAAUUCCUAGUAAGCGCGAGUCAUCAGCUCGUGCUGAUUACGUCCCUGCCCUUUGUACACACCGCCCGCCGCUCCUACCGAUUGAGUGAUCCGGUGAAUAAUUCGGACUGCAGCAGUGCUUGGUCCUCCGGGCUUUGCAGCGGAAAGUUUAGUGAACCUUAUCACUUAGAGGAAGGAGAAGUCGUAACA